AUACGGAGGGUGCAAGCGUUAUUCGGAAUCACUGGGCGUAAAGGACGCGUAGGCGGGUUGGCAAGUCAGAUGUGAAAUCCUACAGCUUAACUGUAGAACUGCAUUUGAAACUGCUAACCUAGAGUAUGGGAGGGGGAGAUGGAAUUAGUGGUGUAGGGGUAAAAUCCGUAGAUAUCACUAGGAAUACCGAAAGCGAAGGCGAUCUCCUGGAACAUAACUGACGCUAAGGCGUGAAAGCGUGGGUAGCAAACAGGAUUAGAAACCCUAGUAGUCC
rnacentral:rRNA from 1 species